rnacentral:tRNA from 1 species
GGGCUCGUAGCUCAGCGGUAGAGCGCCGCCUUCGCGAGGCGGAGGCCCCGGGUUCGAAUCCCGGCGAGUCCA